ensembl:lncRNA
GCUGGAGGCUGGAAAGAUGGUCACAGGCACGGCCCCGGGGCUGGUCGGGAAGCCCUGUGACCUUGGGAAUGUGAGUGGGCGGCGGGGGGCUCCGGACGCAAGGGCGAGAAGUGGGCUUCACCUAAGCAAGAGCUGAGAUGUUCAUAGAACAUUCUAUGAACAUCUCAAAUCCAGCCUUGUUCCUCAGAAGGGGAAACUGAGGCCAGAGGCAGGGGGUAGGUGAUUCCAGGCAUCAGAACCUACCAACAGCACAGCCAGGACUCACCCCAAGCAAGGACUUCUGCUUCCCAGCCCAGGGUCUGGCGCCAGGAGGCAUCCAGGGUGUUCGUGGACUGGGAGAAUGCUCAGAGCCUGUCGCGUCCGGUCUUCAGCUGGGAAGGAGACAGAGGGGGAGCUGUGCACCCCAGGCAGACCUAGAAGGUGGUCAGGCCUCUACCACUCUCAGCAUCUAUCAUCACCUUCCCCCAGAUGUGAAUGGUGGGAGCCACUCCUGAGGGCCCCUCCUGAGGUUGGGAAGGGGAGGGGAAGCUACUGAUGUCCUUGCAGACCCAGCACCAGGGCCCUUGGGACAGCAGCCCCCGGAGGGAAUGAGAGGCGCCUGCAGGGAGGCCGGGACUGUUGGGAUGGGGACAGAGCCCUCAGUGGCAGCAUCUCUAACCGGAGCCGCUGCCCCGACAGCAGGCUGGAGCCCCCCAGAGAGCCAAGUCCCCUAGGACCACAGGACAAGACCAGCAUCCAUCCUUCCUACUUUGGCCACGGAACCUCAAAUGUAUGCAGGAGGCAUGGCCACUGUACCCCCUUCCCCUCUACCACUGUCCCCUGCCCCAUGGAGCCUGGGACCCUGUCUAGAAAGCCCUGCUGGCCUGGCCUGGGCUGCCCCCCCUCACUUCUGAGAGGGGUUCUGCUCCUCCCACUCCUAUUGUCCUCCCCCUUGGCCCUCAGCCAGCCCCCAAGCCCAGGCUGAGCCCACUCCAAGCCAGCCAGUGAGGGAAUGGGGUCGUCAGGCAGGGGCUCUGGGAAGCCUGGGUCUGCCCUAGGAGUUUGAGAAACAGAGGUUUCUCCCCAGCCCUCUUGGCAGGGGUGGGAAUUAGGGGCUCAGUGAGAGGGGUCAGAAGAGGCCUGGAUUUGAAUCUCUUGUCGGGGGUGUGGACAAGUGAUUUACCCGCUCUGAGCCUCGGUUUCUUCAUCUGUAAAAUGGGUAUAUGCAUGGCAUCUUCCUGCCACGCUGUGGGUCUUGAGAUACUACAUCAUGUAAAAAUGUGCUCGGCACAGAGGAGGAGCCCAGUGAGGUUGGCUGCCAUGUGCAUGCCGAAGAGGGGAGGCGCUCUGGUUGGUGGGAGAGGUUGUUAGAAGUGGCCGUGGGACAAGGAGGGUCGGUCAGAGUAGUCCAGAGACGAGGCCCCAGAAUGCCCUCUCCUCCCUCUGCUUAAUUCCCCAGGCAGCUCAGGCCGUAGCAGAAGCAGGUGGAGGGAGGCCCCCCUCUAGACUUAUGCAUAUCCACUGAGGCCCCCAGCCACAACCCUAGAAGCUCUCAGUGACCCUCCACACAGCCUGAUCUGCAGACAGUGCCCCCAGCUCAGGACCAGGUGUGACCCCAGAAAGACGAUGCACA